rnacentral:rRNA from 1 species
UACGGAGGGUGCAAGCGUUAUCCGGAUUCACUGGGUUUAAAGGGUGUGUAGGCGGGCUGUUAAGUCAGUGGUGAAAUCUCAAGGCUCAACCUUGAAACUGCCAUUGAUACUAUCAGUCUUGAAUUUUGUUGAGGUAGGCGGAAUAUGUCAUGUAGCGGUGAAAUGCUUAGAUAUGACAUAGAACACCAAUUGCGAAGGCAGCUUGCUAAACAAAUAUUGACGCUGAGGCACGAAAGCGUGGGGAUCAAACAGG